rnacentral:rRNA from 1 species
UGUUCGGAUUCAUUGGGCGUAAAGGGUGCGUAGGCGGCGCGGUAAGUCGGGGGUGAAAUCUCGGAGCUUAACUCCGAAACUGCAUUCGAUACUGCCGUGCUUGAGGACUGGAGAGGAGACUGGAAUUUACGGUGUAGCGGUGAAAUGCGUAGAUAUCGUAAGGAAGACCAGUGGCGAAGGCGGGUCUCUGGACAGUUCCUGACGCUGAGGCACGAAGGUCAGGGGAGCAAGCGGG